CUUCGGGUUAAAACAGCUAGAGUCGACCACUCUUAGUUUUAAUACCACCGACGCUAAACACAGUAUUCGGAUGGCUAAAAACAUUACAAUUGAGCCAAAAUGUCAGAGUAAAUGCGGAGACCUGACGGUACCAUAUCCGUUUGGAAUCGUAUCAAAGGGUCUCAAGUGUUCCAUAGACCCCUCUUUUGAUAUUACGUGCAACAAUUCUUUCAAUCCUCCCAAGGCCUUUAUACAAACUGGUAACAUUCAGGUGUAUGAUAUAUCGGACACUGAGUUAAGAGUAUCAACUUUCAUGUCUUCCAGAUGCUAUAAUCAGCCCGGCUUUUUAAAUUACACCGAAGCUCGGGUUAAUGUUGAACCUCCGUAUAUAUAUUCUGACGCAAAUGUGUUCACAGUUGUUGGUUGUGAUGACUUUGGCAGCCUUUUCAGAGAUGUAAAUUCCGUUUCCCGUAAAGGAUGCAUGACAACAUGCGACGACGCUGAGGAUGUCGAUAAAGAUGAGUGCUCCGGCAAUGGUUGUUGUCAAACAUCCGUCAAUCUUGACAAGUAUUUCCGAAUCGGUCUUUCAAGCGAUUUUAAUCAUACAUAUAACGUCUCAUCAUUUAACCCGUGCGGUUAUGCAUUUUUGGGUGAGAAAGAUAAAUUCAAGUUUCAAGGCACAUCAGAUCUUAAUGAUCCAGAUUUCCGGAACAGGACUAAGGCUAAUGUUCCUAUAGUACUAGACUGGGGUAUAGGGAAGAACAAUUGCAUUGAAGCACAGAAAGACCAAGCUUCUUAUGCUUGCAAACAUGAAAAUAGUGACUGCAUAAAUGGAAGUAGGUCUGGUGGAUAUCGUUGCAUUUGCAGAGAUGGUUAUGAGGGUAAUCCAUAUCUCAGUCCAGGAUGCCAAGGUAAUUAAUCUAACUCUUCAUUCUAAUUUUGAAUAUUUGGAGUAUCUAAUGAGCUGAUUUAAUCUAAUUUAAUUGUUUGAUUGUAAGAUAUAAAUGAAUGUGAACAACAUACACAUGGUUGUGAACAACACUGCAAUAAUACUCAGGGGGGUUUUAAUUGCUAUUGCGGAUCCGGCUACUCUAUUGAUGUUCGUGAUGGCAAAAAAUGCACUGCUAAAAGUGUUUUAAUUGCUAACGGCAACAGGAUCAAGUUGGUAUUAGGUAAAUUAGUUCUCAGCAAUGAUCCAUACAUAUGCAUAAUGUACUGGAAUAAAUAAUCAUGUGAUAUACGGGUGUAUCAUGCAGGUUUGGUAAUUUGUUGCCUUUUAGUAAUCAUCGGAAUGAACUGGCUGUACUGCAUCAUGAAGCAGAGAAAGCAUUCUCAAUUACGAGAAAAAUUCUUUGAGCAGAACGGGGGUUUUCUCUUAAGACAACAAAGUAUUUCUGAGGGAGGUAGUAUCGAGUCUACAAAACAUUUCACUUACGAAGAAUUGAAGAAAGCGACCAACAACUAUGCUGCUGAUAGAAUAGUUGGACAAGGUGGUUAUGGUAUAGUUUACGAAGGAAUUUUACCUGAUCAACGUGUCGUUGCAGUCAAAAGGUCUAAAGUAUUGGAUACGAGUCAAAUAGAUCAAUUUAUCAACGAGGUGGUCGUUCUUGCACAAGUUAACCACAGAAAUGUGGUCAAACUUCUAGGAUGUUGUUUAGAAUGUGAGGUGCCAUUGUUGGUAUAUGAGUUUAUAUCUAAUGGCACUUUGUUCCAUCAUGUCCACAGUACUGACGGAGGCUUGUCAUGGUUAUCUUUAGACAAUCGGUUGAGAGUUGCUGCUGAAUCUGCUGGUGCCCUUGCGUAUCUUCAUUCAGAAGCUUCUAUGCCCAUUAUGCAUAGAGAUGUCAAAUUAGCCAACAUAUUACUUGAUGACAAUUAUGUUGCUAAAAUAUCUGAUUUCGGAGCCUCCAGGCUGGUACCCAUGGAUCAAACUAAAGUGAUCACAUUAGUCCAAGGAACUUUAGGCUACUUGGACCCUGAAUACUUCCAUACAGGUGAACUAACCGACAAAAGUGACGUUUAUAGUUUUGGAGUGGUCCUUGCAGAGCUCUUAACUGGAAGAAAACCAAUUUCCAUGGAAAAUUCUGGGGAAGAAAAAAAUUUAGCCACGUAUUUCAUUACUUCCCUCAAGGAGAACAGAUUAUUUCAAGUUCUAGAUCGUCGAGUAGUGAGGGAAGGGUCGAUGGAUCAACUUCAAAACGCUGCUCAACUUGUGAAGAGGUGCCUUAGCCUUAAUGGCGAGGAAAGACCACCAAUGAAGGAUGUGGCGACGGAAAUGGAGAGUCUAAGGAAAUUAACCAAACAUCCUUGGGCUAAUCAACAUGGCACUGAAGAAACCACAAGCUUGAUCGUUGAUAGAGAGAUUCAGCAUUCAGACCUCUAUGAAAUUCAGCUAACUACUCAUGGUGANUUUUGGAGUGGUCCUUGCAGAGCUCUUAACUGGAAGAAAACCAAUUUCCAUGGAAAAUUCUGGGGAAGAAAAAAAUUUAGCCACGUAUUUCAUUACUUCCCUCAAGGAGAACAGAUUAUUUCAAGUUCUAGAUCGUCGAGUAGUGAGGGAAGGGUCGAUGGAUCAACUUCAAAACGCUGCUCAACUUGUGAAGAGGUGCCUUAGCCUUAAUGGCGAGGAAAGACCACCAAUGAAGGAUGUGGCGACGGAAAUGGAGAGUCUAAGGAAAUUAACCAAACAUCCUUGGGCUAAUCAACAUGGCACUGAAGAAACCACAAGCUUGAUCGUUGAUAGAGAGAUUCAGCAUUCAGACCUCUAUGAAAUUCAGCUAACUACUCAUGGUGAGAAUAACUCUGAACAGUAUAGCUCAAGUACUACUGUUAGUUUGUUGCACCAGCCAACCACCCCUCGUUGAGAUAUAUCUUGAACUCCAUGAUUUGUUUAUAAAUCAGGCAUGUGUAUCCUAUAGUUUCAUUUCUAUGUUUAGUUACCAGUUUGUUGCACGGUUAAUUUCUAUCUAGUUAUGCAUACGUAUUCGAUAAGGAGGUUUCUAUACAAGUAGCACACUUUAUAUGCAAAUAGUUGUAUAUUUUAGUAGCAAAGUUUUACAUAGUUCAUUAAUUGUAUAUUUUAUAGGAUUUCUUCCUGGCUGAUAAGAUCUAUCUUGUAAGUUUCGCAUAAAAAAUUCUCGCUAUAAAAUGUCUGAGUUGAGCGAGAACUGAACUCCUUGUCUGAAACAUGAUAUAGGGAUAAAUUCUUACUCCGAGACUAUCUCAUUUUGUUUUUCGUUUCAAUUAAUUACUAACUCCAUAAAAUCCAGACUUUAAAUCAUCUUCAGUUUUAAAUUUAAAAAUGUCUGUUUGUGUAAUAAGUCAAAAGUCGGCUUAAAGUAAGCAAAAAGCGACAAGUCAAAAGUACUUUUUUCAGUGACAUAAUUUUGUUAAAACUUUGUUUUAGUAAAAGUUGCCCAUAAGUGAUAAAUCACCGAUAAAUCACUUUUAAUUUUAUUAUUACAUUUUUAACAACCACUAAAUCAUUAAUAAAUCAAAAUUAUCUAAAUAGACAUUUUAAGUUCUUUGCUUAUCCUAUUAAAUCACUUAAAUCACGUUAAAUGAUAAAUCAUAGCUUUAAUUUGAGUAAAAUUUGACAACCGAGCUUAUGGAGUUGCAUAGACCCGCAAGCAUGGACCAACUACUUGCGAAGCUUACUUUUCUAAAUGUCGAAAGCAAGGCAAAAACUGACGGUGCACAUCUGCAGAAGACCAUUCGGAUAACAAGAAUGAAGGGAACUGUGGUGUGGAGCUUAAUUCACCUGUAACAUCACUACCAGCUGACCAGAACUUCACAUACUACACAUUGUCAUAUCCGUCCAAAGACUUGCGUGUUUGAAUAACAUUUCAUUUUUGGAGUGUAUUGCUGAGCUUUCCGAUUUGUUAUGCUACCUUAGAAAGCAAUUUUGAGGUGAGUAUUGAGAUUGUGGUGGCUAAUGCUGAGAAUUUUCGUACUUGAUUGGUAUUUGAAAAGUCUUAUAUAUAGAGCAAUGCACUGAGGAAUAAGGAUAUACAGUAAGAAUAUAAGCUGAUGAUAUCAAAAUAAAUAAAAACAACAAUGCACAUCUUUGUUGUUCUUCUUGUUUUUGUAUUGUUGCACCUUACUAAUGCGGAAAUCAUCACAAAGCAUGGAUGUCCAAGUAAAUGUGGAGACGUGACGGUACCCUAUCCAUUUGGCAUUGAAGGUUAUAACUGUUCCAUAAACCCCGCGUUUGAUAUUAUAUGCAACCAUUCCACUAAUCCUCCCAAAGCCUUCCUCCCAGGAAAUAAUAGUGAUGUUGAGGUUUAUCACAUAUCCAUCAACAGCACCGAGUUACGGGUUCCAAAUUUUAAUUUAUCCAAGUGCCCUCCUUCUGGUAACAAAGUCGAUUCCCCUAUUAUUUGGGACUUUAAUUUGGAGGGAACUCCAUAUAUGUAUUCCAACUCAAAUGUGGUGACAGACUGACAGUUGUUGGUUGCAAUUAUUCUGCGCUAAUCAGCCCAAUUAGCGAUCCCUCGGUUACAGGAUGCAUUACCACGUGUGAAGACACUGACCAAGUCCGCAAAGAUGAGUGCUCUGUAGGCAGUGGCUGUUGUCAAGUACCCUUUAGUGAUCAGCAGAAGAACUUCCAAUUUCAACUUGAUAUCUAUAAUAAUGGAAGUACAGGUUGUGCGCAUCGUUUUUCAGUAAGAAAGAAAGAUUCGAAUUUAGAGGUAAAUCAGAUCUUGACGAUUUAACCUUCCAGAAGAGGAAUUUGGCGGCUCCUGUAAUACUGGACUGGGUUAUUGGGAAUACAAAUUGCAAAGAAGCAGCUGAGAACCAGAGUUCUUAUGCUUGCAAAGACGAAAAUAGUGACUGCUUCAAUGCAACGGGGUCGAGUGGAUAUCUUUGCAGGUGCAAACAAGGUUUCAGGGGCAAUCCAUAUCUCAGUUCAGGAUGUGAAGGUAUUUAACUAAAACAGAGAUCUUCCUCUUGUUGUAGGACCAGGUAAUAAUUGUACUAUUUAAUUAAUUUAAUGUGACCGGGUGUUUCCAUUUUGCAAGAUAUCGAUGAAUGCAAAUCCAGAAGAUAAUCGAUGCCAACAAAGAUGCAAUAAUACUCCCGGGAACUAUAUCUGUUCUUGCGAAGAUGAUUUCUUUCUUUUUGAAGAUUAUAAAUGCAUUGUUCUAGGCUCCACCUCCCAAGGCUCCAACUCCCAAUUGAUCAAGGUUUUAAUAGGUAAACUUAUGAUCACUAUUUUUUCUACCAACAAAACCAUAUAUCUAGAUUAUUAUAUCUGAUCCUUGCGUUUAUAAUGCAGGAACAGGAUUUGGGUGCCUCUCCUUAAUCAUAUUAAUGAAUUGGCUGUGUUGCAUCAUGAGGAAAAGAAAACAUAUGAAGCUAAAAGAGAAAUUCUUCCAGCAGAAUGGUGGUCUACUGUUAGAACAACAUAAUAUCGGGGAGGGUGGUUCUAUUGAUUCCACAAAACAUUACACCGAUGAAGAGCUAAAAAAAGCAACCAACAACUACGCGGCUGAUAGGAUUCUUGGACAAGGUGGUUAUGGUGUAGUUUACAAAGGAAUCUUACCUGAUGAUCGUGUAGUUGCAAUCAAGAAGUCUAAAGUAGUGGACAAGAGUCAAAUAGAGCAAUUUAUCAACGAGGUGCUGAUUCUUACACAAGUUAACCAUAGAAAUGUGGUCAAACUGUUGGGAUGUUGUUUAGAGUGUGAGGUACCAUUGUUGUUAUAUGAAUUUGUAUCCAAUGGUACCUUAUACCAUCAUGUCCACAACAUUAGUGGAGGCAUGUCAUGGCUGUCUUGGGAGGAUCGGUUGAGAAUUGCUGCUGAAUCUUCCGGUGCUCUUGCAUAUCUUCACUCUGCAGCCUCUAUACCCAUCAUCCAUAGAGAUGUAAAGUUGGCUAAUAUUUUAGUGGAUGAUCAUCAUGUUGCCAAAAUUUCAGAUUUUGGAGCGUCCAGGUUGAUACCCAUGGAUCAAACUCAAGUGACCACCUUAGUUCAAGGAACUAUAGGGUACUUAGACCCCGAAUACUUCCAUACAGGCAACUGACUAACAAAAGUGAUGUUUAUAGUUUUGGAAUUGUCCUGGCAGAGCUCUUAACAGGAAGGAAACCAAUCAGCAUGGACAAUCCUGAGAAUGAAAGAAAUCUAGCCACAUAUUUCAUAACCUCCAUGAAUGAAAACCGAUUAUUCCAAAUUCUAGAGCCUCGGGUAUUAAGGGAAGGGACAUCGGACCAGUUUCAAAAGGCUGGUGAACUUGUAAAGAGGUGUCUUGACCUUAAUGGUGAGAAAAGGCCAACAAUGAAGGAAGUGGCAAUGGAAUUAGAGAGCUUGAGGAAAUUUACUAAACAUCCUUGGGCUAAUCAGCCUAUCAAUGAAGAGACAACAAGUUUAAUAGCUCAUUCGAGGAUUCAGCAUUCAGACCUCUAUGAAAUUAAGCUAAGCUCUCGUGAUGGGAAUGGUUCUGAAUCUGAACAGUAUAGCUCAAGUACUACUGUUAGUUUGGUGCACCAGCCAACCACCCCUCGUUGAGAUAUAUCUUGAUCUACAUUCAUGAUUUGUUCAUAAAUACAUGAAUGUAUAUCCUAAUAUUUCAUUUCUCUGUUUAGUACCAGUUCAAUACACAAGUUCAUUUUUGUCAAGUCAUGCAUACCAAUUCGAUAAAACGGUUUUCAGUUUUCAUGUUUAUGAUGUAAUUAGCAUACUUUAACAGUCUUUAAACCUUAUUGUAGUAGUUCAAUUAAUAUAGUUGUAGUUGUAUAUAUAUAUAGGAUUCAGCUAAACUUCUCAUCACUACAAGAAAAAUUGUUAAAAAAAACUUCCAACAACACAUCUGUCAAAAAUUCACAAAUAAAUUUCCAACAUUUAUCAUCAAAAAUAUGUAAUCACAUUUUUACAAUAAAGAAUAUGUCAAAAGUUUAUGCAUGUGACAACCAAAAUCGUUGGAAGAACAAACUUUUGACCGCACGAAAGUUACACGAUAUUUGUUGGAAAUUCAUUCUUCUUACCAACCAAUUUUGUAAGAAGAUAAUAUUUCCGACAAAAAUACAAUCACUAGGAAGUUCACAACUUAUGACAAGUUUUAUCUGUCAAAAGUUGGUGUGAACUUCCAACAGAUAGUUUGUAAGAAUUUAUGUUUAAAUUUUUAUUAUUAUUUCAUAGAAAUUCAUUUAAAUAUAAAUAAAUUAUAUUCCUGACAACAAUGUACGUCAGAUGUUAAGUUUAAUACUAUAAUAUCCUUGAAGUAGGCUCUACGUUUAUUUUCCGACAAAACUGAAACUUCCAAUGAAUUUCAGAACUUUGGAGUACAAGUUUUCCAACAAAGGUAUUCUGUCGGAAGAAGGCAUUCUUCUGACGGAAUACAGGCUAAAAUGUCUGUCGGAAAUACAUGUAUUUGGUGUAGUGUGCUCAGAUAUUAGAUUCAGUUGUUUUUAGGUAUAUAUGCCUUAUAUGUGAAGAAUGGACACAUUGUAGAAAUAUUUGCUUUAAAAUUGAGCUGGAGCUUUGUAAUACAAUUGCUCCUGGUUUCACAGGGUUCAGGAUAUCUAUCUAUGCUUUUAGACUACUUCCCAGUUAUAUGAAGUUGCUGGGCAACUUACAUUCCACAGGAGCACACAUACGUUACAUAUGCAUAUGAAGUUGCCAAAUCAAGUCAUCAUUGUGCCUCGUGUUUCAUUUCAGUGCAUUGACCGUCAUCGAUAAAUCUUUUUUCUUCUGUUUAAACUGACAAUUUCGGCUACAUAAAUGCAGAGGAGAAUUCAGCACACAAUGGAACACAAAAUGAGAGCUCAAGACAUCAUUUUUGUCAAAAAAUGGUAUAAAUUUCAACCAACGGAUAUGUCAAUCUAGAGCUGCAAUGGUUACAAUGAGAGAUUAUUGAGUACUUUCUACAUGUGAUCAGUAUCACUUUAAGUAAUUGUUUAAAUCAGGUUUUCUUUUAUUUUUAUGCACAGUUCUAGAAAAAAACUGGAGACUCACACAGAUUGUUAUGCUAGUUUCUUUAUGAGCGUCAUUAAUCAGAGCGAGCUCUGAUACCAUAUUGAGAACGAGAACUGAACCUGGACACAAGACAAGGACUAUGGGGGCAGCAAGAACCAGAGACUUUGGCAUUGACGCGACAUGAAGACCAAGACCGCGACGACUUUGAUUGCGAAAUGAAGUCUACUUUAAACACUGAGAACAACAAUUAAUGGUUCUUCCUUUCCUAAAGUUUAUAAAGUACUCUGAUAAAUACACAAAAUGUUGUAUCAAGUACUUGUCUUUGAAUGAUCAAGCCUUCAUUCGUUUCAUGGCGUGCUCCAACAAAUAUCUUCAAAUAGUUCCUCCAAUAAUGUGGACAUAAUUUCUGCGAUAGUGUCCAAACUUUAGGGACUUUAUAAAUAGCUUUUCAUCACUAUACAGUGUGAAUAGCUUUUCCAUUAUGUCAUCUUUAUUAAAUACUGGUGCUCGUUCAUUCUCGAAGUACCUCCUUUUUUCUAAAACUUCUUUUAGCACUUCAGUUGUCCUGAAAAAGUCUUACAACUAAAACGUGCAAGUGGGGGCGGACAAUUCUGGCUGUGAUAAAGAAAUGCAAGAGACUAGUAGCCUGUUCUGGGCUUAAAACCUCGAAAAUGUCUGUUGUUUCCGUAAGAAGUGAGAAGCCGGUUUAAAUUAGAAAUAAGCCGAAACAGACUUAAACAGUACACAAGUUCGUUUGAGGUAUUUUUUUCGUGUGACUUAAAUUUUUUUGAACCAUUUUUUAUUAUAAUAAUUAAGGUAAAUCAUAAGUUACCCAUAACUCACAUUUAUUUUUAUUAUUAUAUUUUUACUAACUCAUAAGUCAAUAAUAAGUCAUAAUUAUUCAAACAUACGUUUUAAACCGACAGCUAUCGUAUAUUUGUUAAAUUCUGUUGUUUUAUAUUUUUCAAAUUAAAUUAUUUAAAUUUCAAAUUAUUAUUAAUUAGAUAAUCAAUAUAACUAAGUUACAAGAAAAUUAUUUUAUUAAAAUUUAUUGAUAUAAAGAAAUUCAAGAAAGGAGGACAUACACAUUACAAACUUAUUAAUUUUUUUAUAAUUCUAAUUAUUUCCUAAAAUAUUUAUAUAAUUAUUAUCAGUAACUAAGAACAAUUGUAUACCGUGGAAAAAAAAAAAGGAACAAUUGUAUACAAUUUUUUUAUAUGAUUUGCAAUCAAAUACAACCUAAAAUAAUUUAUUUCGAAAACAAUAGGGUUUCUUUUUAAUUGAAUUCACUAAAAAACAGGUGAAUGCCCAAUACAACCUUUUUACAUCAACUGCUACCCAAAAUGACUAGAGCAGGAAAAGUGACCAAAAUGACGAGAGAAAAUCGCAUUCAGAGAAUGCGUAUACUGUUUUCGCAUUCCUUGGAUGCGCAUGCUCUGACUGAUUUGAUACACACGCAUUAGCACUAUGCGAGGCAACGCUAAACUUCAUAUUUUUUUUAAAUUAGUUACACAUUUCUAGGAUGUGUGCUAAGUAUAUACGCAUUGUCAAAAUGCGCAUACUUGUCUUACAUAUCACAAAACACACCCCGGACACAAUAAGUGAACCCGAACCCAGGAGCACUUCAUGAAUGACGUCGCCACCGACCUUCUGUCAGAGAUCCCGUGCUAAUUACAAGUUCUCAAAACACUGACUAAACCCUAGUUUAGUAACAUAUAAAUAAUACUCCCUCUGUCCCAUUUAAUUCUAUACGUUUCUUUUUAACUGUUCGACACGCAUUUCAAUACUCUUAUAAAAUAUAGUUCCGUAACUUAUUUUUGAGAUUUUCUUUUUCUGUAUAAAAAUAUAACAUCUAAACUUUAAUUCAGAAAAGAAAAAUUUUAAAAAUAAAUUGCACAACUACACUUUGCAGGAGCAUUAAAGUCCGUGCCGCUUCCCCGUCCCCCAAUGUAUACAACUCAGGCAUUAAAAUAAUAAUACAUGCGGACUUGCAGUGUGUAGGUGAUGAAAGAAGAAAAAAAAAAAGUGAUGUGUGAUGUGUCUCGUAUGUAUAAUAAAAAGAAAGAGAGAUGGGAUGGGGAUGCAUAUACUUCAAAGAAGGAUACACGAUGUACUUGGGUAGUAGUUGGGUUUGAUAUUGUACACGCAUUCGUCGAAUGCGAAGAUGAAUGGUUAAAAAGGGCAACAACCCCGACAUUAGUUAUUUCGGGCAUAGAGUACAUGAAUAUUAGUUAUUUAGGUUAUUAUCUCCUAAAAAACAAGAUAAAACUAACACCCCAAAAUGAUCGGUUACGUCCAUAAAUGAUCAGUAAUAUACCUAAAACCGACCAUAUACGAUGGUCGAUUUAGGCACAUUGGUAAUGUUUAAUGUAUAAAACCAACCAUCUCAGUCUCAAUUUUAACUGGUGCAAAAAACUUGCACAAGCAGGGCCUACACUGACAGCUAGUGCCACUUGGAUGCAAGUGCCACGUAUGCACAUAUAACUGAUAGGAUGGGUGGUCGGUUAAAAUGUUUGACCGGUAAUGAUUAGAUGUUUUCGGAGUAGAGUAAACCCGAUCGAGCCGGGGUGGGGUUUAUUCUAGAUAAGCUAUGGCCUAUUAGAACCAACCAACUGUAACCGACCAACGGAGGUGGUUGGUUAAGUCUCCUUGGUCGGUUUUAUAACGGAAGCGGCUGGAGUUUUUAAAAUCUGACCAACCAUAACUGACCGGCUCUUUUGAAGACGUUCGGUUUUAUGCGAUGUGAAAUGGUAAGGCCAGUCGGUUAUGACAAAGUCAGUCGGUUUUCUAGCUUGUGGAAUGGUAAUCAUGAUCGGUUAUGAUUUUUCGGGUGGAUUUUCUAGGAUGUGGAAUGGUAUACACAGUUGGUUAUGGGAUGUGGAAUAGUAUAUCAAUAAAUCACUUUUAUUUUUACUAUUAUGUCAUUAAUAAAUCGAAAUUGUCAAAACAGACAUUUUAAGUUUGGAGCUAUCUAAGCCCCUCUUAACUCAACCAACAAACUCACUGGACUCUAAGCCCCUCUUAAAAUAAUUUUUGAAAUUACUUUGAAAUAUUAUAACAAGUCAUAAACUUUAAAAAUAAAGUUGUCUGAGUAACUAAUAUAUUUAUAAUAUAUACUCAGAUAAAUUAUCCAUCAAAUUUAUUUUUAUUAUUACGUUUUCAAUAAUUUCAGUCAUUUAUAAUAUAAAAUUAUUAAAACGGAUAUAUUAAACACUUAAAGUUAAGGGGAGAAAAAACUGUGAAAUAUAAGAUGGUGGCAGAGACAAGGCAGAUCCUUCUUCCUCUGAGAACAGAUGGGCAGGAGAACCCUAGAAGAAGUGGGAACAGUAAAUAUGAACUUGAGGGGCAGUGAGGUUGCUACUCUCACAUAUUGAUAUAGGAAAUUACAUGUUAUGGCAUCAUGAUUUUACUAUAAACUUCAACACUUAAUAGUAGUUGUUAAUAUGUAAUGUUUUUAUUGUGUAGUAUUAAUAGAGUCUGAACUGAUGGCAAUUGUAAAAGGACAGAACCCUCUGUUGGUGUUUAACGUUGUAUUUGAAACAACACUGCGUCCACUACUUGGUGUCUUAUUUCAGUAUGACUGGUUUGUUAUUUUCUAACACAGGAUAAAUCUGACAUGAAUUAUGAAUGGCUAUUAGUUCGCUUCAGUUUUGUUCUAUAACGCGCUUAGAUGAAAUGACCUUGAAGUUUACAACCUUCAAAGGUAGUAACAUGUAAGGAUGCGUUCACUAGGAUGGAAUGGAAUGAGGGGGAAAUGGAAUGAAAAUAUAUAAAAAAAAAGUUUUAUGGAGAAAGAAGAAAGUAUGAGACAAUAAUGAUUAAAAAUGAGUGAGUUAAAACUUUUCAUGAAGAAGAUGAUAGGGAAACAUGAUGAACAAGUGGAAUGAAAAUUCCUUUCAUAACAUGUGGGUUAUAAUGUAGUUCAAAUAGUUAGAAUGGAUUGAUUGAAUGAAUGAAAAUUAUAAACAAUUUCUCUAAUUACCCCCAAUUUAUAUUAAAAUACCAUUCGAUUCUCCCCUCAUUCCUUUCCAUCCAAAUGAACACAGUCUAGGAGUAUGAUUUUAACUAUACCAUAUUAUGCGAACAGUGAGUUUCGUUUGCUGUUGAAAAGUCUUGUAUAGCUAUAAAGAUUAAGCGUGUGGGCACACAAGUCAUUCAUGCUUUAAAAACAGAGCUAUAUGUGCAGUCGGGAAUCGAAUAUACACACCAAGAAAAUACAUUUCCGCUAUCGAAAAGCUAAACACAAAAAUGCACUUUGGUCUUUUUUUCCUUGUUGUUCUACUGCAUUUUUCCUGGGGGUUAAAACAGCUAGAGUCGACCACUCUAAGUUUUAAUACCGCCGACGCUAAUCACAGUAUUCUGAUGGCUGAAAACAUUACAAUUGACCCAAAAUGUCAGAGUAAAUGCGGAAACCUUAGGGUACCAUAUCCGUUUGGAAUCGUAUCAAAGGGUCGCAACUGUUCUAUAGACCCCUCUUUUGAUAUUACGUGCAAUGAUUCUUUCAAUCCUCC
rnacentral:lncRNA from 1 species